GGUUAAGCGACUAAGCGUACACGGUGGAUGCCCUGGCAGUCAGAGGCGAUGAAGGACGUGCUAAUCUGCGAAAAGCGUCGGUAAGGUGAUAUGAACCGUUAUAGCCGGCGAUGUCCGAAUGGGGAAACCCAGUGCAAUUCGUUGCACUAUCGUUUGAUGAAUACAUAGUCAAACGAGGCGAACCGGGGGAACUGAAACAUCUAAGUACCCCGAGGAAAAGAAAUCAACCGAGAUUCCCCCAGUAGCGGCGAGCGAACGGGGAGCAGCCCGGAGUCUGAAUCAGCUUGUGUGUUAGUGGAAGCGUCUGGAAAGUCGCAGGGUACAGGGUGAUACUCCCGUACACUAAAACACACAGGCUGUGAACUCGAAGAGUAGGGCGGGACACGUGGUAUCCUGUCUGAAUAUGGGGGGACCAUCCUCCAAGGCUAAAUACUCCUGACUGACCGAUAGUGAACCAGUACCGUGAGGGAAAGGCGAAAAGAACCCCGGCGAGGGGAGUGAAAAAGAACCUGAAACCGUGUACGUACAAGCAGUAGGAGCCUCUUUAUGGGGUGACUGCGUACCUUUUGUAUAAUGGGUCAGCGACUUAUAUUCUGUAGCAAGGUUAACCGUAUAGGGGAGCCGCAGGGAAACCGAGUCUUAACUGGGCGUUAAGUUGCAGGGUAUAGACCCGAAACCCGGUGAUCUAGCCAUGGGCAGGUUGAAGGUUGGGUAACACUAACUGGAGGACCGAACCGACUAAUGUUGAAAAAUUAGCGGAUGACUUGUGGCUGGGGGUGAAAGGCCAAUCAAACCGGGAGAUAGCUGGUUCUCCCCGAAAGCUAUUUAGGUAGCGCCUCGUGAACUCAUCUUCGGGGGUAGAGCACUGUUUCGGCUAGGGGGUCAUCCCGACUUACCAACCCGAUGCAAACUACGAAUACCGAAGAAUGUUAUCACGGGAGACACACGGCGGGUGCUAACGUCCGUCGUGAAGAGGGAAACAACCCAGACCGCCAGCUAAGGUCCCAAAGUCAUGGUUAAGUGGGAAACGAUGUGGGAAGGCCCAGACAGCCAGGAUGUUGGCUUAGAAGCAGCCAUCAUUUAAAGAAAGCGUAAUAGCUCACUGGUCGAGUCGGCCUGCGCGGAAGAUGUAACGGGGCUAAACCAUGCACCGAAGCUGCGGCAGCGACACUAUGUGUUGUUGGGUAGGGGAGCGUUCUGUAAGCCGUUGAAGGUGGCCUGUGAGGGUUGCUGGAGGUAUCAGAAGUGCGAAUGCUGACAUAAGUAACGAUAAUGCGGGUGAAAAACCCGCACGCCGGAAGACCAAGGGUUCCUGUCCAACGUUAAUCGGGGCAGGGUGAGUCGACCCCUAAGGCGAGGCCGAAAGGCGUAGUCGAUGGGAAACAGGUUAAUAUUCCUGUACUCGGUGUUACUGCGAAGGGGGGACGGAGAAGGCUAUGUUGGCCGGGCGACGGUUGUCCCGGUUUAAGCAUGUAGGCGGAUGUUCCAGGUAAAUCCGGAACGUUACUAACGCUGAGGUGUGAUGACGAGGCACUACGGUGCUGAAGUGACAAAUGCCCUGCUUCCAGGAAAAGCCUCUAAGCAUCAGGUAACAUCAAAUCGUACCCCAAACCGACACAGGUGGUCAGGUAGAGAAUACCAAGGCGCUUGAGAGAACUCGGGUGAAGGAACUAGGCAAAAUGGUGCCGUAACUUCGGGAGAAGGCACGCUGAUAUGUAGGUGAAGUGGUUUACCCAUGGAGCUGAAAUCAGUCGAAGAUACCAGCUGGCUGCAACUGUUUAUUAAAAACACAGCACUGUGCAAACACGAAAGUGGACGUAUACGGUGUGACGCCUGCCCGGUGCCGGAAGGUUAAUUGAUGGGGUUAUCCGUAAGGAGAAGCUCUUGAUCGAAGCCCCGGUAAACGGCGGCCGUAACUAUAACGGUCCUAAGGUAGCGAAAUUCCUUGUCGGGUAAGUUCCGACCUGCACGAAUGGCGUAAUGAUGGCCAGGCUGUCUCCACCCGAGACUCAGUGAAAUUGAACUCGCUGUGAAGAUGCAGUGUACCCGCGGCAAGACGGAAAGACCCCGUGAACCUUUACUAUAGCUUGACACUGAACACUGGUCCUUGAUGUGUAGGAUAGGUGGGAGGCUUUGAAGCGUGGACGCCAGUCUGCGUGGAGCCAUCCUUGAAAUACCACCCUUUAAUGGCUGGUGUUCUAACGUGGGCCCGUUAUCCGGGUUGCGGACAGUGUCUGGUGGGUAGUUUGACUGGGGCGGUCUCCUCCUAAAGAGUAACGGAGGAGCACGAAGGUCAGCUAAUCCUGGUCGGACAUCAGGAGGUUAGUGCAAUGGCAUAAGCUGGCUUGACUGCGAGCGUGACGGCGCGAGCAGGUGCGAAAGCAGGUCAUAGUGAUCCGGUGGUUCUGAAUGGAAGGGCCAUCGCUCAACGGAUAAAAGGUACUCCGGGGAUAACAGGCUGAUACCGCCCAAGAGUUCAUAUCGACGGCGGUGUUUGGCACCUCGAUGUCGGCUCAUCACAUCCUGGGGCUGAAGUAGGUCCCAAGGGUAUGGCUGUUCGCCAUUUAAAGUGGUACGCGAGCUGGGUUUAGAACGUCGUGAGACAGUUCGGUCCCUAUCUGCCGUGGGCGCUGGAGAAUUGAGGGGGGCUGCUCCUAGUACGAGAGGACCGGAGUGGACGCAUCACUGGUGUUCGGGUUGUCAUGCCAAUGGCAUUGCCCGGUAGCUAAAUGCGGAAGAGAUAAGUGCUGAAAGCAUCUAAGCACGAAACUUGCCCCGAGAUGAGUUCUCCCUGACUCCUUGAGAGUCCUGAAGGAACGUUGAAGACGACGACGUUGAUAGGCCGGGUGUGUAAGCGCAGCGAUGCGUUGAGCUAACCGGUACUAAUGAACCGUGAGGCUUAACCUU
rnacentral:rRNA from 1 species